rnacentral:rRNA from 1 species
CCUACGGGUGGCAGCAGUGAGGAAUAUUGGUCAAUGGCCGGAAGGCUGAACCAGCCAAGCCGCGUGAAGGACGAAAGUGCCAAGCAUUGUAAACUUCUUUUGUCAAGGGACAAAAUCAGGCUCGAGAGCCUGACCGAGGGUACUUGAAGAAAAAGCAUCGGCUAACUCCGUGCCAGCAGCCGCGGUAAUACGGAGGAUGCGAGCGUUAUCCGGAUUUAUUGGGUUUAAAGGGUGCGUAGGCGGACUGUUAAGUCAGCGGUAAAAGCCCGGGGCUCAACCCUGAGCCUGCAUUUGAAACUGUGUUUCUUGAGUGCUGGAGAGGCAAUCGGAAUUCCGUGUGUAGCGGUGAAAUGCGUAGAUAUACGGAGGAACACCAGUGGCGAAGGCGGAUUGCUGGACAGUAACUGACGCUGAGGCGCGAAAGCGUGGGGAGCAAACAGGAUUAGAUACCCGAGUAGUC